rnacentral:rRNA from 1 species
GAUGAACGCUAGCGGCGUGCUUAACACAUGCAAGUCGAACGGAAAAGAGUAAUAUCUUUUUAGUGGCGGACGGGUGAGUAAUAUGUGAGAAUUUGCCCUUAUGGCAGAGGAUAACAAUUAGAAAUAAUUGCUAAAACUCUAUAUGUUGUUAAUCUUUGAUUAACAAUGAAAAAGAAAUUUGCCUAAUGAGAAGCUCACAUUUGAUUAGCUAGUUGGUAGGGUAAGAGCCUACCAAGGCGACGAUCAAUAGUUGGUCUGAGAGGACGAUCAGCCACACUGGAACUGAGACACGGUCCAGACUCCUACGGGAGGCAGCAGUGAGGAAUAUUCCGCAAUGGGCGAAAGCCUGACGGAGCAACGCCGCGUGAGGGA